rnacentral:rRNA from 1 species
UUGUGAACGGGAAGAACCUUACCAAGGCUUGACAUACACCGGAAACAUCCAGAGAUGGGUGCCCCCUUGUGGUCGGUGUACAGGUGGUGCAUGGCUGUCGUCAGCUCGUGUCGUGAGAUGUUGGGUUAAGUCCCGCAACGAGCGCAACCCUUGUCCCGUGUUGCCAGCAGGCCCUUGUGGUGCUGGGGACUCACGGGAGACCGCCGGGGUCAACUCGGAGGAAGGUGGGGACGACGUCAAGUCAUCAUGCCCCUUAUGUCUUGGGCUGCACACGUGCUACAAUGGCCGGUACAAUGAGCUGCGAUACCGUGAGGUGGAGCGAAUCUCAAAAAGCCGGUCUCAGUUCGGAUUGGGGUCUGCAACUCGACCCCAUGAAGUCGGAGUCGCUAGUAAUCGCAGAUCAGCAUUGCUGCGGUGAAUACGUUCCCCGGGUCUUGUACACACGCAAAA